rnacentral:lncRNA from 10 species
CUCAAUUUAAAAAUAGGCAAAGGAUUCAAAUAUACAUUUCUCCUAAGAAGGUUUAUAAGUUGCCAAUAAGCACAUGAAAAGAUGUUCAACAUCAUUAGUCAUUAGGGAAAUUCAAAUUAUAACCACAAGAUACCACUUCACACCCACUAGGAUGGAUAUAAUCUAAAAGACAGGCAACAACAAGGGUUGGAAAGGAGGUAGAAUAAUUGGAACCCUCAUUCAUGGCUGAAUUAUAAACAUUCAGUUCAUAAUUCAGCUGUGAAUGAGGGUUCCAAUUAUUCUAAAUUCUAAAAUUCAUACGUUGAAGCUCUGAAUCCCAGCUGUAUUUUUAUUAGAUGGGACCUCUAAAUAAAUAAUUAAUGUUAAAUGAGGUCAAAAGGGUGGGGCUCCAAUCUGAUAGGAUUAGUGUCCUUAAUAGGAAGAAACACCAAAGAGCUCAAUUGCAUUCUUUCUGCAUGCAUGCACAAAGAAUAGGUCAUGAGAGCACACAUUGAGAAGGUGGCCAUCUGCAAUCCAAGGAGAGAACCCUCACCAGACACCAACCUUGCUGGCACCUUGAUCUUAGAUUUUCAGUCUCCAGAACUGUAUUUCUGUUGUUUACACCACCUAGUCUAUGCUAUUUUAUUAAGGCAGCUGAUGGGAAUGUAAAAUGGUACAGCUGCUUUGCAAAACAGUUUGGCGGUUCCUCAAAAAGUUAAACAUAGAAUUACCAUAUGACCCAGCAAUUCCACUGUUAGUUACAUAGCCAGAAGAAUUGAAGCACGUCUUUAAAUAAAAACUUGUACAUAAAUGUUCAUAGCAGCACUAUUCACAAUAGCCAAAAGAUAGAAAGGAACUAAAUGUUCAUCAAUAGAUGAAUGGAUAAAACAAAAUGUGGUAUAUAUGUACAAUGGAAUAUUAUUCAGCCUUAAAGAGGAAGGAAAUUCUGACACAUGCUACAACAUGGAUGAACCUUGAAGAUAGUAUGCUAAGUGAAAGAAGCCAGUCAGGAAAGAGUAAAUAUUGUAUGAUAUUCAACUUAUAUGAGGUUCACAGAGUAAUUAGAUUUAUAGAGACAGCAGAAUGGUGACUGCCAGGGGCUGUGGGGAGGAAGGAAUGGGGACUUAAUGUUUACUGAGUAUAGAGUUUUAGCUGGGGAAGAUGAAAAAGUUCUGGAGAUGGAUAGUGGUAAUCGUUGCACAACAAUGUGAAUUUCCUUAAUGCUAUAAAACCGUACACUUAAAAAUGGCUAAGAUGAUAAAUGUUAUGUUGUGUAUAUUUUACCACAAAUAAAAAAGAGUGAAUUUUAUGGUAUGUGUGAAUUAUAUCUUAAUUAAAUCAUUGUAAAAAAUAAUGACUCACACCAAACAAAUAGCAUAAAGGGGAGAAGAACCCACAUGAUUAUCUCAGUAGACACAGAAAAAAUAUCUGUAAAAAUCAGCAUUCAUUCAUAAUAAAAACUCUCACAAAACUGAAUUUAUAUGUUUUGACAGAGAGUUCAUUUAAUACUUGGAGCUGAAACAAACAAAUAAAACUCAAAAUAAACAACAAAACUAAAAACCAACCACCUCUCCCAAUCUUUGCAAGUUAGCUCUAUGCUGGGACGCACCUUCAGCACUUAGCAAGGCUCACCCUGAGCCUAGGGUCAGCCUUCAGUGAACACUUAGUAUCUUCUCAAGUCUUUUCUAAGCAUAGAUUUUGCCUGGGUGUGUUUGUGGCUUUCUAAAUUCCUUGGUAUACAUGGCUGCUUUUGCAUGUCCUAAGUUCCCAAAAACAUCUCACCCCAGAUUCUCCUUUAGGCCUUUGAUGGUCUAUCGUACGUCUCUACCCAGAAUCUCUUGCCUUAGGCAUCCAUGGGUCUGUAGUCACCUGGCAGUUUUUAUGAGUGAUACCCACCAUUUUUCUUCCUGAGUUCCAAGUUAGGGAAGACAGAGAGAAGCACCUUGUGUUCACCCUUCAGAUAUCCCGUGGAGAAGUUAGAACAGGUGUACAUAAUAAUUUGUAAAUAAACUCUGCUCUGUCCCCUCUGCUUUGAGAGAGAGAGAACUGGGAAUCCAGCUUCUGCAGUUUCAAGACUGAGACUGCCACUGCAGCAGUGGGUGGGGGUGGGGUCAUGCUGGGCAAAGAUAAAAUCACUACAAAACUUUUCAACCACUUUGAAGAUUUCAUUUCAUUUCUUUUCUUUUUUAAAAUGAGAUAGGGUCUCACUAUGUUGACCAGGCUGAUCUUGAACUCCUGGCCUCAAGUGAUCCUCCCAUAUUGGCCUCCCAAAGUGCUAGGAUUACAGGCGUGAGCCACCAUGUCCAGCCAAGAUGUCUUUUUCUUGACUGGGCAUUUGCUUGGUUGCUGUUAACACUGGGUUGUUUUCCAGAGCACCAACAAAGUUUGUUCAGACAGUUCCUGCUUGUUUUUUCAAUGUUCUGAAGUGAAGAACAAUCCUUCGAGUUUUCUAGUCUGCCAUUUUGUUGACAUCACUGUCUCCUUUGCUUUAGAAAGAUAUUUCUGCUGGGUAUAGUAUUGUAGAUUGAAAGAAUUUUUUAUGUCAACGUUUUUUUUUUUUUUUUUUUUUUGCAGGUGCAAGAUUUAAUAGAGUGAAAACAGAGCUCCCAUAAAAUGGAAGGAGACCCAAAGGGGGUUGCCGUUGCCGGCUCGAAUGCCUGGGUUUCUAUCCCAAUCAUUGUCCCUCCCCCUGUACUCUCAGGUGAUAGAUAUUAGCUAUUUCUUUACCUCCUGUUUUUGCCUAAUUAGCAUUUUAGUGAGCUCUCUUUACUACCUGAUUGGUCGGGUGUGAGCUAAGUUGCAAGCCCUGUGUUUAAAGGUGGAUACAGUCACCUUCCCAGCUAGGCUUAGGGAUUCUUAGCCGGCCUAGGAAACGCAGCUAGUCCUGUCUCUCAGUCCCUCCUCUCAACAGGAAAACCCAAGUGCUGUUGGGGAGGCGGGCCAGCGACUGCUCUAACUGCUUCCUUCUGAACUAGGGCGCAGUAGGGGUCAUGCAGUUGAGAUUUCCUCGGGAGGGGUGCCUUUGAUGUCAUCAACAUCGAAGCAUGGGCUAGCAGGCUGGUCCAGGGGGCUGCGGUAGAUCUUAGUCCUCGACUGCACCUGGGGCUCCAUUUGAAGAACGAUUUGUAGUUUUACAGCUUCGAUUCUGGAAGAGACAAACUUAACAAGGAGGUUAAAAAGAUACAGGGAUUGAAAUGUAUGGCCUGCAGUGCAGGGGAUUAUUUCUUUGGCACACUUCACAGGCCCUGACUAUCUGCUUGUUAGUUUUGAAAAGGCCUGGUCCAGUAAAUAAAGAUUCAGCCAUCUGAUGAGUGCUAUCAAUGCCUAAGUGAAAGGUUUGGUGAAGAGUUUUAAGUAAUUUCCAUUGGUUAGCUGCAGGCAAAAGUAUUUUUCCUUCUUUGGUGGCUAACCAUCCUGAGGGGAGGAAACUAUGUCCUCAUGAGGUUCCCCAUUGUCAGGCCUCUGAGCCCAAGCUAAGCCAUCGUAUCUCCUGUGACCUGCACGUAUACAUCCAAAUGGCCUGAAGCAAGUGAAGAAUCACAGAAGUGAAAAUGGCCUGUUCCUGCCUUAACUGAUGACAUUCCACCACAAAAGAAGUGAAAAUGGCCUGUCUCUGCCUUAACUGAUGACAUUACCUUGUGAAAUUCCUUCUCCUGGCUCAUCCUGGCUCAAAAGCUCCCCCACUGAGCACCUUGUGACCCCCACCCCUGCCCGCCGGAGAACAACCCCCCUUUGACUGUAAUUUUCCUUUACCUACCCAAAUCUUAUAAAACGGCCCCACCCCAUCUCCCUUCGCUGACUCUCUUUUCGGAUUCAGCCCGCCUGCACCCAGGUGAAAUAAAUAGCCUUGUUGCUCACACCAAGCCUGUUUGGUGGUCUCUUCCCACAGAGGUGGAUGCGAGUGAAACCCAUCUAUUUCUCCUGCUGAGUAGUGGGGCUUGGUUUCCCAGAGGGGACUACCCCAUACUAGGGAUACUUCUAUAAGCAUUUCUAAUGGAGGGUCCCGCCUUGUGGCUCUUUCGGCUUCAAUAUCCACUUGGCGGUUCCCUUCUAUUUCCCUUUCCUUUCUUUUCUGAUGACCCCGGCAGUGUAAGACUGCCACCUCUUUAGGUUUCUGUACAGCCAAUAAUAAUCUCCUAAUGGCUUCCUGAUGUUUGAUAGGUGUUCCUUCAGAAGUUAGGAAUUCCCUUUCUCUCCAUAUUGC